rnacentral:rRNA from 1 species
UACGGGGGGAGCAAGCGUUGUUCGGAUUUACUGGGCGUAAAGGGCGCGUAGGCGGCCACGACAAGUCACUUGUGAAAUCUCCGGGCUUAACUCGGAACGGUCAAGUGAUACUGUCGGGCUAGAGUGCAGAAGGGGCAACUGGAAUUCUCGGUGUAGCGGUGAAAUGCGUAGAUAUCUGGAGGAAUACCGGUGGCGAAGGCGGCAUCCUGGACCGGCAUUGACGCUGAUGAGCGAAAGCCAGGGGAGCAAACGGG